ACCGUGAGCGGGGCGUUGAGGUCAGCCUCCGCCGCCUCGCGCGCGGCCUGCAGCGGCGGGAUCGCGUCCCGCGCCUGGUUCC
rnacentral:tRNA from 1 species